CACAUGUUAUCAUUAGUAACAAUAUCAACACAACACAGACAUAUGACACUGCAGAAGGCAUGUUUCACAAUGAUUGACACAUGCAUCACGCGCUGUGCGGAGGGCACCAAGUGCAGAGGGGGCACCAAAAAUAGCCGAGACGAAGAUGAAGUUUGACAGUAGGCUAAGUCAACUUUUUUUGGAAAUGAAAAGACAGCAGGAGUCAGGAGCAGAGACAAGAAAGAAGAAGAAACUGUGAGAUGAUGCCCAUGCAUCACUAGCUGGUAAGUCCAUGUUUAAUCAUUCUUAAAUACGGGAAAUGUGCUGCUAAUGUAAUGGUUAGCCUAUGCAUACACGUCGAACCAGCUGACGUUAUUGCUAAUGUUAGCAAACUCAAAUAUGUUAUAACUUAGGGGCAAGCUAAAUUGAGAUUUUACUGUU